GACGGAGGAUGCAAGUGUUAUCCGGAAUCACUGGGCGUAAAGCGUCUGUAGGUGGUUUAAAAAAGUCCACUGUUAAAAAUUGAAGCUUAACUUCAAAGAUGCCGUGGAAACUUUUAAACUUGAGUACGUAGGGGCUAGAGGGAAUUUCCGGUGGAGCGGUGAAAUGCGUAGAGAUCGGAAAGAACACCAACGGCGAAAGCACUCUGCUGGGCCGACACUGACACUGAGAACGAAAGCUAGGGGAGCGAAUGGG
rnacentral:rRNA from 1 species